rnacentral:rRNA from 1 species
UACGUAGGGUGCGAGCGUUGUCCGGAAUUAUUGGGCGUAAAGAGCUUGUAGGCGGUCUGUCGCGUCUGCUGUGAAAAUCCGGGGCUCAACCCCGGACUUGCAGUGGGUACGGGCAGACUAGAGUGCGGUAGGGGAGACUGGAAUUCCUGGUGUAGCGGUGAAAUGCGCAGAUAUCAGGAGGAACACCGGUGGCGAAGGCGGGUCUCUGGGCCGUAACUGACGCUGAGGAGCGAAAGCAUGGGGGAGCGAACAGG